rnacentral:rRNA from 1 species
AACGAACGCUGGCGGCAUGCCUAACACAUGCAAGUCGAACGAGACCUUCGGGUCUAUUGGCGCACGGGUGCGUAACGCGUGGGAACCUUCCCUUAUGUUCGGAAUAACUCCCCGAAAGGGGUGCUAAUACCGGAUAAUGUCUUCGGACCAAAGAUUUAUCGCCUUUGGAUGGGCCCUCGUUGGAUUAGCUAGUUGGUAGGGUAAAAGCCUACCAAGGCGCCGAUCCAUAGCUGGUCUGAGAGGAUGCUCAGCCACACUGGGACUGAGACACGGCCCAGACUCCUACGGGAGGCAGCAGUGGGGAAUAUUGGACAAUGGGCGAAAGCCUGAUCCAGCAAUGCCGCGUGAGUGAUGAAGGCCUUAGGGUUGUAAAGCUCUUUUACCCGGGAUGAUAAUGACAGUACCGGGAGAAUAAGCUCCGGCUAACUCCGUG